GAAAUGCGAUAACUAAUGUGAAUUGCAGAAUUCAGUGAAUCAUCGAGUCUUUGAACGCACAUUGCGCCCCCUGGUAUUCCGGGGGGCAUGCCUGUCCGAGCGUCAUUGCUGCCCUCAAGCCCGGCUUGUGUGUUGGGUCGCCGUCCCCCUCUCCGGGGGACGGGCCCGAAAGGCAGCGGCGGCACCGCGUCCGAUCCUCGAGCGUAUGGGGCUUUGUCACAUGCUCUGUAGGAUUGGCCGGCGCCUGCCGACGUUUUCCAACCAUUCUUUCCAGGUUGACCUCGGAUCAGGUAGGGAUACCCGCUGAACUUAAGC
rnacentral:misc_RNA from 1 species